UACGUAGGGUGCGAGCGUUAAUCGGAAUUACUGGGCGUAAAGCGUGCGCAGGCGGUUUUGUAAGACAGAGGUGAAAUCCCCGGGCUUAACCUGGGAACUGCCUUUGUGACUGCAAGGCUUGAGUGCGGCAGAGGGGGAUGGAAUUCCGCGUGUAGCAGUGAAAUGCGUAGAUAUCUGGAGGAACACCGGUGGCGAAGGCGGCAUCCUGGACCAACACUGACGCUGAGUGAGCGAAAGCCAGGGGAGCAAACGGG
rnacentral:rRNA from 1 species